AUUCCAGGCUCCUACAGCAGCGUCACAGCACAGAACGAGCUCCCAUAAAGCAGCUGAACAACCUGCUGUGCAACCUUCCUCCACAGGGAUUCAUGGGCAUAUUUUGAAAACCUCUCUACUCCAAGCCCCCACAGAAAAAAAAA